AUGCGGCGCGCGGGAGGCGGCCGGCGCGGGCUCUCGGCGCGGGCGCAGCGCCCCUUCCCCCCGGUGAGUGGCGGGCGGCGGGCGGCGGGCGGGGGCGGCGGGCCGGGGACGCCAACUUCGCCGCCAACUUGGGGCUGGGCUCGGGCGCCGCGCGGGCAAGGACGGCGGAGGCAGACGCGGGAGUCCCGGGGGCGGUCUGGCCGGCGGGGGAGCCCGAGGAGGGGGCGGCCGGGGCCCCGCGACCCCCGGGGACCUGGCCUGGGACUCGGACCCGGGCGGGCGGAGAGGAGGCGAGGCCGGGAGGCCGAGGUGACGGGCGCGCGGCGGACGCGAGGGAAGGACGCGGGCGAGGCGCCCAAGACGUUCGCCUCCCGGGUCGCCGAGCCCUCCGGCUCCUCUUGGGGGGGGGCGGCGCCGCGGGGCAGGGGGCGGCGCGGGGACGCGGGAGUCUGGGCCGCGGGCCCCGCAACUGUUGCUGCUGGAAGCCGCUGGGCGGGGAGCUGGGCCGGGAGCCGGGGCUGCCGCUGCGCGCGGGGGGCUGGAGAGGGCCGGGGCGGAGAGGACCCAGGGGGCUGCCUCCCGAGGUUCGCCGAGCACCUUCUGCGCGCCUCUCCCUCGACACCCCGCCCCUUCACACGCUGCGAGUCCCCCAGGUCCUUACAUCCCCCCGCCCCCGCCCCGGGCUCUCCUCCUGCUCCCUCCCCUGACCUCAGGGAAUCAGCCCCGGCUUCACGGGGUUUGGGGGGAGGGGGUCUUCCCAAACGCGGACCCAACGCCCGGAGGACCCGGGCUCCGAGGGCGCAGAAGGAAGGCUGGGCGAGGAGCACCAGGGGGGACCGUGAGCCCGGAGCGCUGGGCCCUGGCUGUCGCACCGGCGGGCAGCUGCGGCCCCCCCGGGGCUUCGACAAGGAUCCCCGACGGCGGGGAAGGGGAACCCCGAGCCUCCUGCAGCGGAAGGCGCUGCGAGCCCAGGCUAGGAGGGCAGGGCUAGGGACUUGGGAAGGAGGGCAUCAAGCGGCCGGAAAACCCCCGCGGUGCGCACCAAGACCCAUCGGAAGGUCCUGCUGGGUGAGCGAAGCGAAGCGGGGAUCCCAGCCCGGUUCUUGA
rnacentral:lncRNA from 1 species